rnacentral:rRNA from 1 species
GACGAACGCUGGCGGCGUGCUUAACACAUGCAAGUCGAACGGAAAGGCCCUGCUUUUGUGGGGUGCUCGAGUGGCGAACGGGUGAGUAACACGUGAGUAACCUGCCCUUGACUUUGGGAUAACUUCAGGAAACUGGGGCUAAUACCGGAUAGGAGCUCCUGCUGCAUGGUGGGGGUUGGAAAGUUUCGGCGGUUGGGGAUGGACUCGCGGCUUAUCAGCUUGUUGGUGGGGUAGUGGCUUACCAAGGCUUUGACGGGUAGCCGGCCUGAGAGGGUGACCGGCCACAUUGGGACUGAGAUACGGCCCAGACUCCCACGGGAGGCAGCAGUGGGGAAUAUUGCACAAUGGGCGGAAGCCUGAUGCAGCAACGCCGCGUGCGGGAGGACGGCCUUCGGGUUGUAAACCGCUUUCGCCUGUGACGAAGCGUGAGUGACGGUAAUGGGUAAGAAGCACCGGCUAACUACGUG